rnacentral:rRNA from 1 species
CCUACGGGCGGCAGCAGUGGGGAAUAUUGGUCAAUGGGCGCAAGCCUGACCCAGCAACGCCGCGUGAAGGAAGAAGUCUUUCGGGUUGUACACCUCUUUUGACAGGGAAGAAUAGAUGACGGUACCUGUCGAAUACGCCACAGCUAACUACGUGCCAGCAGCCGCGGUAAUACGUAGGUGGCAAGCGUUGUCCGGAUUUACUGGGUGUAAAGGGUGUGUAGCCGGGUUGACAAGUCAGAUGUGAAAUCCUGCGGCUUAACCGGAGAACUGCAUUUGAAACUGUCGAUGUUGAGUACUGGAGAGGGAGACGGAAUUCCUAGUGUAGCGGUGAAAUGCGUAGAUAUUAGGAGGAACACCAGUGGCGAAGGCGGUUUGCUGGACAGCAACUGACGGUGAGGCGCGAAAGCGUGGGGAGCAAACAGGAUUAGAUACCCGUGUAGUC